UACAGAGGUCCCAAGCGUUGUUCGGAUUCACUGGGCUUAAAGGGUGCGUAGGUGGUCAGGUAAGUCUGAUGUGAAAUCUCUGAGCUUAACUCAGAAACUGCAUUGGAUACUAUCUGGCUAGAGAGUCGGAGGGGGGACUGGAAUACUUGGUGUAGCAGUGAAAUGCGUAGAUAUCAAGUGGAACACCAGUGGCGAAGGCGAGUCCCUGGACGACUUCUGACACUGAGGCACGAAAGCUAGGGGAGCAAACAGG
rnacentral:rRNA from 1 species